rnacentral:rRNA from 1 species
AGUGAACGCUGGCGGCGUGCUUAACACAUGCAAGUCGAACGAGAACGGGUUAUAGCUUGCUAUAAUUGUCAGCUAAGUGGCGCACGGGUGAGUAAUGUAUAGGUAAUAUGCCUCUUACUAAGGGAUAACAAUUGGAAACGAUUGCUAAUACCUUAUACUCCUUAUUAACUAAAGUUAGUAAGGGAAAGAUUUAUUGGUAAGAGAUUAGCCUGUAUUGUAUCAGUUAGUUGGUGGGGUAAUGGCCUACCAAGACUAUGACGCAUAACUGGUUUGAGAGGAUGAUCAGUCACACUGGAACUGAGACACGGUCCAGACUCCUACGGGAGGCAGCAGUGGGGAAUAUUGCACAAUGGACGAAAGUCUGAUGCAGCAACGCCGCGUGGAGGAUGACACAUUUCGGUGCGUAAACUCCUUUUAUAUAAGAAGAUAAUGACGGUAUUAUAUGAAUAAGCACCGGCUAACUCCGUG